AAAAAAACAACAAAAAC
rnacentral:sRNA from 1 species